UGGGGAAUCUUGCACAAUGGGGGAAACCCUGAUGCAGCGACGCCGCGUGAGCGAUGAAGUCCUUCGGGGCGUAAAGCUCUUUCGACGGGAACGAUAAUGACGGUACCCGGAGAAGAAGCUGCGGCUAACUACGUGCCAGCAGCCGCGGUAAUACGUAGGCAGCAAGCGUUGUUCGGAGUUACUGGGCGUAAAGAGUAUGUAGGCGGUCUUCUAAGUUUGGUGUGAAAUCUCCCGGCUCAACUGGGAGGGUGCGCCGAAAACUGGGAGGCUUGAGCGUGGGAGAGGAAAGCGGAAUUCCUGGUGUAGCGGUGAAAUGCGUAGAUAUCAGGAGGAACACCCGCGGUGUAGACGGCUUUCUGGACCACGGCUGACGCUGAGAUACGAAAGCGUGGGUAGCAAACA
rnacentral:rRNA from 1 species